GUCGUUUUAGGUUAAUUUGAUUAGACUAAAUCUUAUCCAUCCCUCAAACCCCAUCAAACGGUCAAGAACUAAAUCAUUAGUCACAGAAAACUAUCUUUGAGACCGAACCCCACAAACUUCUCAUAUCAUCUCUCACCUCCUCUUUCACGCCCCACCUUCCGCCACCGCCGGAAAUUGCCCAUAGCGGCGGCCAGUCUCCAAAUAGCCCUUAAAUUUCACCCUAUAUUCCCCAACUCCUCUUCCAUCCAAACCUCUUGCCAAUAUCCCCAAAAUCCCCAUCAAAAUCAAUAAAUUUUAGAUCUCGAAAUAUCAGAAAAUCGAUUCUUUCCUUUGUUCAUUGCUCGAUCAUUUCGGCUUGGUUACGGCCAAAACUUACUUCAAUGGAAAGCUCUUGACAAGUGCUAUAUAUUUAUGUAAGAGGUGGGUCAUUUAUCAGUGGCCGGAUUUUGGUCAACCGGUGUUUGACCGGUCGGAGCCGUCUGGAGAUUCCUUCUGUCGUUUCUUUUGAGCUCGUUAGGUAAUCCUUGUCCCUUUCUUCUUUGUUCCUCUCUAUCCUUUUGAUAAUUAGAAAUUAGAAAUUAGGUUUAGUUGUUCUUCCGAUUUUAGCACUGAUAAGUUUUAAAACUGAAUUAUUCAAUUGUCGACUCUUGUUUAAUUCCUAUUUUUCAUAUUUGUUCAUUCUUUGUUGUUUGUCUCUUGGAUUUAGAUUUGAUUUAGUAGUACUUUGUUUUGGUCUAUGUAUUUUGUUAUUAGUUGAUUAAAUUAGAUUUUAGUUUGUUUAAUUAGUGUGUACCGUGCAAUUUUUGCACAAAUUAGAGUUAUGGGAUUUUUGUUUUAUGUUUUGUCAAAGUGAUGAAGAGGGUUUUUGGGUGUUAAAGAUAGGUAUGAUCUUGGGCCAGAGACAGGCCCAAAUUUUAUAUGAGUAAAAGAGUUGGGCCUAGGGAAUAUCCGUUAGAAUAGUGAGGAAGUUUCUAGAGGUUAGUAGAGGAAAAGAAAGGGUAGAAAAGGACCAUAUAGCAAUAAAGGGGACUGGAGGGGGUAAAAAUAGAAAUAAAAAUGACUGAAAAGGAAGAGAAAUAACAGAAAAGAUGCUGAUAUUCUGUUAUAAAAUUGUUCAUUCCCUCUCACAUAAGACUCACGCAUUCACUGACUAUUCACAAUACAUUCACUCUCAUUCUGUCAUCCUCUCUCAUCUGAUACACAUACAAUACACAUUCUCAUUUAUAGAAUUUAUUGUCUCUCUCACUCUCACUCGUACUCUCUCAUCUUCACUUCUCACUCCUUCACAAAGCUGGAUAUACACUCAAUCACACACGUCUGGAAAAUGCUAAAAGAAAUAGUUUGAAAUUCAAAAAUAUGAGAUCUAGAAAACCAAAAAAAGAGAAUGAAAUUCUGGAAAAACAAAAUAAAGGAAGAACAAUAGAGUUUUUGGUAGGUUACUUUGGAAUUUGGAUUCAAACAAUUCAAAAUCGAAGUUGUGGUUGUUUGCUGCUAAUUUCGAGUUGAUUUGCUUGGGUCUCAAACUUUUCUUCCUCUGGUUUGGCACUGUUGUUUUAUGUUGUUCAUCACUCUGAACUUCAUCUUCAGUUCAGACCUCUAUUUAAUUUUUGAUUGUUGUUUAGGUAUGUUCAGCUGUCUCUGCUGUUGUUGUUUGAAUCUUAAAUGAAAACUCAAUUUGUUUAUGUGUUAAUUUUGUUCCACUUUACAGAUUUGUCAUGUGUAAUUGUUGAUCUGUUUCGAUUUACUUUCUCUGUUAAGUUCUGAAACUAUUAUGUUCUAAAUCUGUUAUAAUCCUUAGAUUCAUCAUCUGUUUAUGUUAGUGUAAGUUUUAGCAUUUGAAUUGAUUAAUUGUCGAUAAAUAGAAUAACACUUCCUAUUAUCGAUCGUUUAGUUUAUGAGGUCGAUGUUUCAUGUUCAAAUGAUAUUGACAGGGGAGACUGGUCCUAAUUUGUUGUUAGUUUGAUAACCAACACUCAUGGCCAAUAUAGUUCCCAAGGAUAAUCCAGUGGCUUAGUUUUUCUUGUAAAUUAGAAGAUCGCUGGAGUUUGUGAAAGCUAAAAUUGGCUAGUACUGUAAAGUUGGAUGUCACUAUAAUGUUUAUUCAUUGUUAGUGUUGUAAUGAACUUGAACACUUCCAAUUACUGGCUAUGUAUGUAAUAAACUGAAUAAUUUCCUAGUUCAUUCUGGCUGAAAGUAAAAGUGAUUGUUGGGCCCUGUCAAAUAAGACCACUAAGAAUUGGUCUGUUUUUUUUUCUUUUCUGGAAAGCAAAUGGAGUUCAUGACUCUCAAGCUGUAAGGUCAUAUGGGCCUAAAACCAACUGGCUAUGCCAACUCAAUAGAUGCGGGCCUGUUGGAAGCCCUUAUAAUUGAUAUUGAUUUCUUUGUGAUGUUUUAUCAGUAGUCCAAUAACGUGAAAUGCAUCCCCAUCCGAAUUGAUUUGUAAUCUCUUACUCGUAAAAAUAGCACGGGCUAGCCAGUUUUCGGAUUGGUCAUUAAAAAAUAGCCCACGUUUGUAAAGUCAUUGAAAAAUAGCCACUAUUUUGCUGCAACAUGAAAAGUUUCAGCAUAAUAUACUGGAGAUCGAUGCAACUGUGUAUGAACUUUCAGCAUAAAACUCUAACACGCGGAAAGUUCCUGUAUAAUAUACUGGAGAUUGGAGCACCGGUGCUCCAAUCUCCUGUAUAUUAUGCUGGACCGAUAUAUUAUACUGGAACUCCAGUAUAAGUCCCAGUAUAUUAUACUGGAGUAUUUUUUCGAAUUUUGAACAGUAUUCAGAUUUAUCUUUACAUGAAAAGUGAUUAAAUUUCAAUUACUUUUGAAAGUGUGUCUGUUUUUGAAUGAUCACUUGUAAAUUUGGCUAUUUUUUAAUUUCAGCCCUCUUACUCUUCAUACAUGAGUUCACUUUGAUCUUGGUCAGUCCAAGAAUAAUCUCUAUAGAAGUUAAUUAAGUGGAAUGAACAAACAUAGUUUAAUCAUAAAGUAUUACUAGUCAGUUAACAAGGAUUCAUCUAUUUGUACAGAAGAGUUUAGUCAUGAAUUUUUCAAAGUCCUUAUAAAUUCGUGACUCAAACUCCAUAAUUUUCCUACCUUCACACUUGAUCUCAAACUUAGAAUAAAAUAAUUCGUGAAUAUGCGUUGUUGUUUUAGGCGCGCUUUAAUAAAUAAUCGUUAUGUUUAUAGGUACGAUUUUCGUGGCAUAAUUGUGACACUUAAUCCCAAAUUCAAGUGCACGUUCGCGUGACUUGACCUUACAACUUCAAAGUAACAAUAGAAUUAAAUAUGUUGUAAAUUGCUGGUGCGUUUCAAGUGGCGUGAUUACGAUGUGUGUAAAAUGACAAGUGUGUGACAUCGUAACUUGUAUGAAAUUAAUUCCAUAAUUACUAAAAUAUAUAAUUAAAAGUGGUAGAAAGGCAAAGAUGCACAUAGGUUUAAAACAUGUAUUAAUCAGAUAAUUAAGCCAAGUUUAAUAGUAGAGCGACCGUGCUAAAACCACGAAAUUCGGGAGUGCCUCAUACCUUCUCCCGGUAACAGAAUCCCUUACACGGUCUUCUGUGUUUCGCAGACUUAUACGGAGUAAAACUUUCCUUGAUUUGGGAUUUGAAAUAAUUGGUGAUUCGGAACACCGUAAUUAAAUAAUUCCGAGUGAUGACUCUUAAAAAUAAAAUAAAAUUAGUCUCAUUUCAAUAAUGUUAUUUAAAUUGGAAAAAUUCUUUUCCCUAUAAAAAGGAGGUGUAACAGUACAUCCUAUAUUUUCUCAUUUUUUAAAAUGUAUAAAGAUAUUAUUGUUGAAAUAACAAAAUCAAGUCAGGUCGUUAUUCUAGAGACUGACCGGCUUAUUUCUUCUCUUUCUUAGAUUGUUCUAAGGUUUUCUUCGAUAUUCUUCUUUCAUGUCAGAUAACAUGACCAGGGACUUAGAUUUCUCUCGAUCUGAGCUUCACUCCAGUGUCACCCUUGGACGGAGUUUCGUCGUCAACCGUUGGGUUGGAAUUAACCAAUAGAGAGAAAUAUGUUACAGUCAAUUGCUCAAGAGUUUGUAUCAAUCUCACGUCUUGUCAUCAAAUAACAAAGUAAAUUUUGUUCACUCUCCCAUAGCUUGGAGCCUCCCAAGCCUAGAGUAUACGAACUCAGGGUGUUUGGUUGGACAUUUAAGCUGGUCAAAUUAGCUUUUGAUUUCUUUUUAAAAAUUUCCAAAAAUGCUUAAAAUAAGUUAAAAACUACUUAAAACAAGUCAAAAACAAUAAGUUGGGCAAUCUCAAUUUAUGACUUUUUGGCUUAAAAACUAUUUUUGCUGAAAACCCACUUUUUUAAGCUAAUCCAAACGGGCUCUCAGUCGGAGGAGGAGGCCUCCCUCCUAUCAAUGCUACUCUGGCUGGUUCGAAAUCAAUUCAACUCCAUUUAUAACAAAAUUUUUGGCAUUAAUUUUCAGGAGCUACCACGUAGUUUUGUACUACGCACUAAUUGUACUAUCUCGUUCAUGGCAGAUAAUUAUAACAUUUUAACAAGGAGCUUGAUAUGAACAUCAUGCAGUCAACUUUUAAAUAGCUUGAUUAUGCAAAUAUUGUUUAUAUUGGUAUUUGAUAAAAUUUAAGUACUCUGAUUUAAUAAGGUUUUUGUACAAAAUAAAAGAAGAGUUAUAGGCUGGAACUGUAACUUAGCCAUUAAAUCUUAUGCAGAUAAACUAUAUGGAGUGGAGGUAACAUUUCCCUUGGAAUAGAUGAUAAACAUGUACACAGACAAACCCUGCAGCCUAGCAAUUACAAAAUCUUAAGUAUCAUUCAGAUGAGCUGGAAGCUCGAAAGACAUCAUUUUGUGACAAUAAUAAUUUCUUGAAAAGAAAAGAAUCAGAACUUAAUUAAAGAAGCGGCUAAUCCUACACAUAUCAACAAGAAAGUCUACUCUUAUUCAGCUACUGCACACGAUUAUGCAUCGGGCAGCAAUUUCCUAGUGAUGAUCUUGCCUCAGUAUAACACACACUUGAUGUUUUGAGAAACAACGGUUUUCCUUUUUAUAAUCCUCCUAACUGAGAACCACCUAAACACACUAAAUAACAUUUUCCAUCUCCUUUGAGCUUUAUCCAGAGGGACAAUUUCAUUAUGAGCAAGAAAGCUGUUCAUGAUACUGUGUAGAUCAGGCGAUGUUGGACCAGGAAGGGAAGAAUCAGUGACAAAGAAAGGAAAAUGCAUAUCCGCACAGAAAGGUGGAGUGAAAGAAUCAGUAUCGUCCAUGAAGGAGUUGGAGUCUUGGCUAGGAAAACUCAAUGGUUGGUCAAAGCUAACAACAUCCAUCUUGUCUAUAUCAUGCAAGAUAUAAUCAUCCAAGAUGUCUAUUGAAGAGAUGGAUGGUAAGUUAUCAGGUGUUGAUGCAGCCAAUUGCUGAUAAUCACAUAUGCUAACCUUUUGGGAAGUCAAAAGAUCACUGCUGCUAUCAGAAUUGGCCAUCAUGGGUGAGCUUGAGGACAACUGAACAGUGGAAAAUUGCAAAGCAUAAUCCAUCACAGAUGUCUCGUCCUCAAAGGAAACUACUCCUUCCCAGUGUCUGAAUGCACCAAUGACCAAAUCACGAGCAUCAUCCUGAAUAUAACAAAGGAUAUUAUUGGUUUAAACCAGAUUCCUACAGAAGCAAAGGCAACUGCUAAACAAUGCUCAAUUCAACAAGAUAAGUUUGGACAACAAAGCAAAUUUCUUUCCAAGAUAAAAAACGGCAUAAGACAGACAUGGAGGAGAGAACUUUUAAUGCAAAGAUACAUGCCUUUUGAGUUUCAGACAACUUGUCAAUAGGAAGAUACUGACAAUCUGAAAGAAGUCCCGUCACUUGUCCAACGAUGUUAAAAACCACUCCAUUCGAUUGCAUAGAUCCAGAUGGGCGGUACAAGUACAAAUUCUUGUCAAGUACACAUGUUCGAGCAUGUUCCACUGUCACUUCCCACAUUUUAGCGGACAUACCACUCCCAAGAACCUGCAAGAUUUCCAUAGAUAAAGUAAAAAACAAGAGUUUUCAGUUUAUUCAAAACAUGAGGGAACAAUAAUACUAAAUCUAUGGAUCAACAAAUAUCUUAAUCUCACUCAAGGUGUUCUCACUUAGACACUCGGUGUAAACAAAGCCAAAGUCUGGUAUGGAUCUUCUCAAUGAAGACAGAGGAUGCUUAAUGACGCUAAUCCACUAGUCAAACAUCAACAUCAAAAAGAUACAAGGACCCAGAGGAUGAAAACAAAAAAAGAUUCCAUCCUGUACAUUGUAACAACGUAGUUGUAACAUAUAUAGAAGUUUUAACUUGUGUUAUACUAUUAAACAAAAUCAUAGGCGUCGCAUAACCACAUAAACUCCGGUUUAAACAAAGCAUUAACCAGGUUUUCAAUAACCAUAAGAGUCAACCAGACGUUUGACAACCAUCAUUAUGGUCAUCUUCAUUGCUGUUCAAUCAAUAACAAAUUAAACUGUUGAAUCAAUUAAAUGACGCAUUUGUUGGAUUCUAUAUUAACAUGCAAGAUAGAAUGCCAAAAUACUUACAUUUCGAAGCCUUGCAGGAUCAAGAUAGAGUAGAGUCAGAAAAUCUUUCACUGUGUUGACUCUUUCCUUGCUCAAACGCCUGUGGAAAGCUCCAUCUUUACCAAUUUUUUCCAGC
rnacentral:lncRNA from 1 species